UCGUGGAUGACCCAUCCCUCGGGACAAUGGGAGCCCAUCUAGGUGAUGGGAUAACAAUCAGCCUGAGGGAUCAUGACAUCGGCAAACCCCUUAUCAUCGGAAGCCUAUUGUUCAUGCCAGAUCGAAACUGGGAAUCAUCAAAAGACCCUUUUGUCGAGAGGACCUCCUGGGGGGUUUCAAGGGAGAAACUCAGGUAUAAAAAGCAGGAGUCAAGCCAGAACUCGCUCUCUCUUUCUGCUCUGCUGGACGGCUCGUGACCCUGCAUCAAUCUAGCUAUUGCUACUGUUGGACUACAUUUCGUGUCUUUUUUGCCUUAAUGGGGUAUAUCCAUGGAUUGUCACCUUGUCGUGGUGGAGAAGCUUGCCUGGUUCUGCGAGCGAUGCCGUCUGGAGCUAUGAUCCUAGUAGGCCACCCAUGGCGGUAAGGUCGAGGGGGAGGUCUCUGACAAUCCAACCAAGACCUCAACCGUGGAACAAGCGGAUGACGGCUGCAGCAAAAAAGAGUCUUCGGUCAUCUUGGACUCUGUGCCACUGGACCUUGACCCAGAUCUGUUAAUCUGUGCACCAGUCACCAGUUUAAUGAAAUAAAAU